ACAGUCUCAGCGGCUGCUGCUCCUGAGGGGCGCGCGUGCUGCCCGGUCUGGAGGGUUCGCUGCAAUCGGUGCUACAGCUUUAGGAACUGUGAUUUACUGCGGAUUUAAAACUCUUUAAACAGCCGACUUCCUGCUGAUGGGUCUGAGGGAAGAGCGGCAGCGACUCCGGCAGGGCCUCGGUGCGGAGGCUGGGAGGAGCGCCUGCUUUUUAGGAAAGGAUGCUUCAGCCUCAGCCUCCCGUCCAUGCUCCUCUCCGGUGUGAGUGCAGAGAAGGUCCUGGGUUCUGUCUGCGGCUUCACUCUGGGGGUCUUGGACCUGGACCCGAGAGAGCCCAGAACCACAGGAACAGCAGAAGGGCCGGAGCGUCGCACAGCAACUGUGGGCCCGCGGUGGCUCUGGAGCCAGUCGGCGUGACUCUGCCAUUAGCUCUGUCCCCUUGAAGCUGAUGGAACUGCCGCCAUUUCCCAAAGUAAAGGAGGUGAGCUCUGGGGCGGGUGAGGUUUCAUUGGUAACCGGCCUCUGUGGAUUGCUGCCUGAGCCGGAACGGUAUGGAUUCUCCCUGUGGAGGAUACAGAAGGCACCCCUCUACUAUUGAUGGGCAUCCGUGUGGCUUCCAUCCGGUUUUGGCUGUAGGGGCAGCACCCCCGGGAACAUUCCUGUGAGCACGGUUUCUAGGUGUGGAGCUGCUGGACCGCAGGGUGUGCAUCUACUAAUGGUUCGGUUGUAGUGGAGACAAGAAAGGAGCUCCAAAGUGGCAGUGACCCACAGUCCCAUGAGUGAUGAGAGCUCCAGCUUGUCUAAGUCCUUGCCAGCAAUGGGUGUGUGAGCAGCUUUUACAGAAUAUGACGGCAGCAGCCCGGACAGCAUGGACAAUCAUGGAACAGGAAAAGGAAUCCUUCGUACCCAUCCUGGCAGAGCCAUGAACAUAAUAAAGGACAAACUCCUUAAAGACAGAAACGUCAUCUGGCCCUUUUUUGAGUUCCCAGACCCUCGCAUGGUGCCUUUCAAGCUAGACCAUCAACAAGUGCUUGUUGGUGUCUCAGUCAGGGGUCCAUGGGAGUGUGGGGAGCAGUCCCUAAUCGAUUCAUGUUACUGGAUGGGGCCUUUGCUACAGGAGUUGUGGAGCUGGGCAUAGAGAUCUGGGAGGGAAGCUGGGGACAGACAUGGUGUUUCCAGCCAGGAUGAGAAUCCAAGGUGUCCCCAGCUCUCAGGUGGAGCAGGAGCUCAAGGGAGGCCUGAGGGAUGCUGUGCUCUGUGUGGCAGUGGCCUCCACAGUUUACAGCCAAAGCUCUGUUGGUGAGCUUGGGGCACCACUGGGAAGAGAAGCUGGAUGCUGAGAGAGAGGGAAAGUGAGGCCCACGGGAACCUAUGGGGUGCCUCUGCCCUGCCCUGCCACAGGGUCUCGACCGCUGCCCCACGUCUGCCUGCAGAGUCCAUGCAAAUUUCCUCUUUCACCACCCUCCCAGCUGACCCAGUUGACCCAGGACGAGCCACCACGUCCACCCACUGCUGACCUGUGCCCCACACACCUCUUUGUGUGUGUUUGAAGAGGAUAGCAAAACUGUGCUCCCACCUAACUUCCUGUCAAUCAACCAUAAACACGCUGCCUCUCCUGGUGCCAGUGCAGUGGCCCAGCUGUCCACGUUUAGUGGGCGUCAGUGUCCCUCCCAGCUGGGCACACUCCUCUCCAGAGCCUGCAACAUUGGUACUGAGACAUAAGCGUGAUCACUUCGGAGGCCUCUUAUGUUAGAGAUUUAGAUGAGUGGGGUGGGGACGAAGACCAUCAGUAAACACCUCGCAAAUGUAUGCUUGUCAAAGUGCAGAGGAAGUGCCUACAGCUGUGCCAUCCCUGCGUGGGCUGACUUUCUAACUUCUCCAUGCUCUCCUCCAAGAGCCAGAGCAAACAUGUGUUCAGUUAAUUGUUCAUGUCUUUCAACUUUUACACCAUCUAGAUUUCUGACAUUCUGGAAAAUCUCUCUGCUUGUUUUUAAAGCUCGUUUACUCACAGUUCUGUUAAAUUCAUUCUAAAAGUCAAAGCAUAAUUUGAAUUUUUAAGUUUCAACAAUUAUAUCCUUAAUUUCCUGU
rnacentral:lncRNA from 1 species